UCCGUAGGGGGCUAGCGUUGUCCGGAAUCAUUGGGCGUAAAGCGCGUGUAGGCGGCCCGGUAAGUCCGCUGUGAAAGUCGGGGGCUCAACCCUCGGAUGCCGGUGGAUACUGUCGGGCUCGAGUACGGAAGAGGCGAGUGGAAUUCCCGGUGUAGCGGUGAAAUGCGCAGAUAUCGGGAGGAACACCUAUGGCGAAGGCAGCUCGCUGGGACGUUACUGACGCUGAGACGCGAAAGCGUGGGGAGCAAACAGG
rnacentral:rRNA from 1 species